rnacentral:rRNA from 1 species
CUAUUAUUUAAUUAAAUUAAUUAAAUUAGAAAGUAAAUGUAAUCAUUAAAUCUAAAUAAUUUGGCGGUAUUUUAAUAGGUUAGAGGAACUUGUUAUGUAAGUGAUAGUCCACGGUAAGGGUGUCUUAAUAAAUUUUUAUGUAUUGUUGUUUUAAAAUUAUUUUAGGAGGAGAUAGUUAGUAAUCUGGUUAUAAUAUAAAUCAAAUCAAAAUGUAGAAUUUUUAAGUUUUAAUGAGUUACAUUAAAUUAAAUAAUAGGUAUAAUAAAUUAAUUUUUAUUUAAAAAGGAUUUAAUAGUAAAUUUAUAAAAUUUUAUAAGUUGAAAUUUCUGUGAAAUAUG